AUAUGUAUCUGGCAGAGGAGAUACCAUGAUCGUGAAAGUGGUUUUCCCAGGGUGAGGCUUAUCCAUUUUAUUACAGAUCUGCUGAACCCUGUGACUUCCCCAAUUGUGGGAAACUUGACUCCAUAAUUUGUGGUAGUGGUGGCCUGCAUUCAUAAUCUCCUCUC
ensembl:snRNA U1 U1 spliceosomal RNA